CGAACGGGUGAGUAACGCGUGAGGAACCUGCCUCAAAGAGGGGGACAACAGUUGGAAACGACUGCUAAUACCGCAUAAGCCCACGGCUCGGCAUCGAGCAGAGGGAAAAGGAGCAAUCCGCUUUGAGAUGGCCUCGCGUCCGAUUAGCCAGUUGGCGGGGUAACGGCCCACCAAAGCGACGAUCGGUAGCCGGACUGAGAGGUUGAACGGCCACAUUGGGACUGAGACACGGCCCAG
rnacentral:rRNA from 1 species